AUGAAAAAGAGCCCUGAGGAGCCAGGAGCACAAAGGCAGCGUGUUUCUGUGAAGGCCGCAGCACAAGCACGUGUGAACCUUGAAGGGCUGCUUUGUACCUCUCCAGGGACUGCUUUGGAAUGGGGAAUUUUCUGGAUUUGUUCCCAGUUGUUGCUCAGAGCUGAGGCUUUUCUCCUUGUAUCUUUGCAGGAAAGCAGAGCGGAGGGAGCGUCUGUGGUGAGAUGCUCAGGUGAAAUUGCCUUCCCUGCACCAGCAGCCUGUUUGUGUCCAUGUGAUGCACGGUGAGGAGAAGCCUGCAGUUCUGUGAUGUGACAUACCUGGCCCGUCAGAUAAUUCAGAAGGGAGAGGUGCCUUCUUGUGAAGCUGUGGCAGUGACCACGGCCAGCCCAUGAAGCUCCAGUCAUCAAGACCCCGUAUGUCAUGUCCAACGCCAUCUGUCUGCGCUGCCCUUGAUAGCUGAGGCUACCUCAUGUCCUCUCAAACUGCCAGGCACGCAAGCUUCCUCCUCCUCCACCAGCUCUCCCACUGGCUCUGACACCUUUGCCACCUCCCAUGUCGUGUGGUGGAAAUGCAUGGUGCUGGGGCAGGCCCAAACUCCCACCCUGACAGCAGGCACGUUUCCAAAAACUCUGCUCACUUCCUCAUCCUGCUGGCUCGUGAGAAGAUCCUGUUGUCAGCUCUGCCAACCAGCACAGCAGAGGUGGGAUAGUUACAGGCAGCCUGGAAAACAGCAGGGGAAUAACCAUUUCCCCCUUUGGCUGUUAUCUGUUGAGAAAUGCUGUCUGGUGAGCAUUGAGUCAGGGCCUGAACCACUGAUGGAGCAUCUGGGGAACGGACCCAGUCAGCCCUGGGAGCACAGGUGAGGGCAGUUCAGUUGUAUGAUGGAAUGAGGGGAGCCUGGCUGCACCUCUCUUAGACCUCAUUGAAGGGCUGACUCUGCAUGGGCAAGGAUCUCUGGUUGGAGAUCCCUCCCUUGUGGAGUUUUCCCUGUGAGCCUGGAUCUUCAGGGACAGGUGAGCACUUUCCUUUGUCUUUGUAACGCCUUUCUGUUGUGCUAGUCCCUUUGUGGUUACACCUUCUUCCACUGCACUGAUCAUUCUGGUUGUUACAGAUGGCCUCUGCCCCUUCCCACCUGUAAAGCAAACAAGGUGAUGACAGAGCCUUUAUUUGAGAUAUAGGAGCUAUAGAGCAGGAUAUCAAAGAAAGAGGAAUCGACUCAUCCCUCCCAGCAACAGUUUGGAAGAAAGUGGUGAGCUGAGGAAUGCAGCCUUUUGCGUUUGAACUGCAGUGUGCUGAAAGGUGAAAGGGGGCUGAGAGGUGGGGGGGGAGACCUGUGCAGGCUGACUGUGUGUGUGCUGCUGGGAGCACUGCUGAGAUGGAGAGAGGAAGGCUCCCCGCUCGAGGUACUCGUGUGCUCACGCAGUGGUUCAGGCUGUGACCUGGCAAUUCCACUGCACCACCUGUCCUGCACUGUCCAUGUGCCACCUCCAGGUGUUGCCCAGCUGUUGGGGGACUCGCUGUGACCUCCCUGUCUCACCAGUGCCUUGUGCACUGGACUUCACAGCAUCUUGAUGGCGAGUAGUGGUCCUCUGGAGAUGCUGAGCAACAGUUGUGAGCUGCGCCCUUUUCCUGGACCGGUAUCCCAAGCCCUUCUCAGCCCAGAGCCUGUCUCUCUCAUCUGGUGUUCUAUGGAGAAGUCAGCAAGAUGGGACUUUGCCAGCCAGCUGGUUUCAGCUUCACCACCCAAAUGACAGCAGGGCAGUCCUGCAGCUCAUGGCAGCCCUACGGCUCUGCUCCUUUGCCAGGCUGGAGAGCUGAAUCAGCUCCGAUUCUGCAGAUCCUUCCCUGAGUCCUGCUGCUAAGCACCGAUACUUGUGCAUCCUCUGGGCCACAUCAGGACUAGAAAGAGGAGUAGACAUCAGGCGGAAGGAUCUGGCCUUCUGCUGGUGAUAGCCACCUGCAUGGCCUGUUCCUGCUUUCUCUUUUCCCCAGGAGGCAUGUGGGAAAAUUUGUAAGUUUUCCCCAAGCAGUGCAUGGACCUCUCUGAUGGGAGUGAGCAGCAAGGAGCCGACUGGGUCUCAGCUUCCUUCCUGCCCUGCACUUGACUGAGGGACCCUGCAGCCAGCUCAGAGAUCACAUCCCAGGUGCUGUCUGUUUGUCUGUGGUAGGUACCACAGAAGGAGGCCUCUCCGUGCCAUUGUUGCAGUGAUUUCAGUCUGUGGCACCCACAUUUGGACACAUGGAUGCUCCAUCUGGAUGUUAAUUUUCAGGGGGAUUAAAGCUUGUUGGAAUAUGG